rnacentral:rRNA from 1 species
GACGAACGCUGGCGGCGUGCUUAACACAUGCAAGUCGAACGGAAAGGCCCUGCUUUUGUGGGGUGCUCGAGUGGCGAACGGGUGAGUAACACGUGAGUAACCUGCCCUUGACUUUGGUAUAACUUCAGGAAACUGGGGCUAAUACCGGAUAGGUGCUCCUUCUGCAUGGUGGGGGUUGGAAAGUUUCGGCGGUUGGGGAUGGACUCGCGGCUUAUCAGCUUGUUGGUGGGGUAGUGGCUUACCAAGGCUUUGACGGGUAGCCGGCCUGAGAGGGUGACCGGCCACAUUGGGACUGAGAUACGGCCCAGACUCCUACGGGAGGCAGCAGUGGGGAAUAUUGCACAAUGGGCGGAAGCCUGAUGCAGCAACGCCGCGUGCGGGAUGACGGCCUUCGGGUUGUAAACCGCUUUCGCCUGUGACGAAGCGUGAGUGACGGUAAUGGGUAAAGAAGCACCGGCUAACUACGUG